GUUUGAUCGCAAUGAAGACUUAAUUUGGGUUAUUAGAUAUGAGAGAUAUUUAUUUUGAUUUUUUGGAAGGUAUCAAAAUGUUAUUGAAUUAUAACAAAUUGUUAAUCUUGCAAAGUAUUUCACAAAUAUCAUAACAAAUGUUCAAGCUAAUUUGAAAUCGAAUUAAAAUAUAUAAUUAUCAAAAUACUGAAAAUAUUGGGGAGCAGUAAGCAGCUUGUUUUGUUAUCGGGAACGCAUGCGUUAAGAUUUCAUAUUGAAGCACUAUAUAUUCAUGUUUUACAACUUAAGACAUAUCAUAUUUUACAUUGUAUCGUAAUAGGAUUAUAGUUUAAUCUGUUGAAAAACGUGAAUUUAGAUCAAUGACUUUUAUGCAUGUCAUCAUCACAGCUCUACAGCAUCCAUAUACUAUAAAACCUAUCAUAGUGUUGUCUAUGAGAUAUACCAUAUCAUUAUAUUCAACAAUAGUGUAAUUAAUGAUGCACUACUGUCUUGUAUUGCAAAUUUGUUUAUUUUUAUUUGCAGAAGAGACUAUGAUGAUCAAACAAUCAUCAAGGCCUUUAAAUGCACGAUCAGAGGACUUACAUACACGCAGAAGAUACGGAUAUGUUGAACAAGGCAACGAAGAGCAUUUGGACGUGACAACUAAACCAAGACCUUCAAGAUCAGAGGACCUACAUAAAACCCGGAGGUGUGGAUAUGUAGAAGAGGA